AAUAGUUUAAGGUAAAAUGCCAGCUUUGGGAGUUGGAGAUGGAGGUUUAAGUCCUCUUUUUCUGAGGGUUG
rnacentral:tRNA from 1 species